rnacentral:rRNA from 1 species
CUGGAACGCGCCCCGGCGCACCCAGAAACCCUUUGUGAACUUAUACCUACUGUUGCCUCGGCGCAGGCCGGCUUUUUUCGACAAAAAGCCCCCUGGAGACAGGGAGCAGCCCGCCGGCGGCCAACCAAACUCUUGUUUCUAUAGUGAAUCUCUGAGUAAAAACAUAAAUGAAUCAAAACUUUCAACAACGGAUCUCUUGGUUCUGGCAUCGAUGAAGAACGCAGCGAAAUGCGAUAAGUAAUGUGAAUUGCAGAAUUCAGUGAAUCAUCGAAUCUUUGAACGCACAUUGCGCCCUCUGGUAUUCCGGAGGGCAUGCCUGUUCGAGCGUCAUUUCAACCCUCAAGCCUGGCUUGGUGAUGGGGCACUGCCUGUAAAAGGGCAGGCCCUGAAAUCUAGUGGCGAGCUCGCCAGGACCCCGAGCGUAGUAGUUACAUCUCGCUCUGGAAGGCCCUGGCGGUGCCCUGCCGUUAAACCCCCAACUUCUGAAAAUUUGACCUCG